AGAGCCCAACUUGAGAAUCGAAUGGCCCUACCGUCCGAAUCGUAGUCUAGAGAAGCGUCCUCAGUGGCGGAUCGAGCUCAAGUCCCCUAGAAAGGGGCGUCGAAGAGGGUGAGAGCCCUAUCGUGCUCGGACCCUGCCGCACCAUGAGGCACUGUUGGCGAGUCGGGUUGUUUGGAAAUGUAGCCCCAAUCGGGCGGUAAAUUUUGUCUAAGGCUAAAUACGGGAGAGAGAUCGAUAGCGAACACGUAUCGUGAGG
rnacentral:rRNA from 1 species